rnacentral:rRNA from 1 species
UCUGGUGACCAUAGUUGCAGUGACCCACCCGUUCCCAUACCGAACACGGAAGUGAAACCUGUAUGCGCCGACAAUACUCGAGGGGCAACCCUCCGGGAAGAUAGGUCGUCGCCAGAA